rnacentral:misc_RNA from 1 species
AGGGAUCAUUAACAAAUCAAACACACAAACCUGUGUCAAUGUCUGUGCCGAGUGGGGGGUAGUUGCGCGCGCCUUGUGCGUGCGCACUGCUUGAUGGGGAGAGGUGCGCCGUGUAUUACUUGUUACAUCACGGGGCACGCCUGCCGGCCAACAACUACAAACCAUGUCAGAGUUAUAUACAUAUAAUGUGUAAACAACUUUUAACAAUGGAUCUCUUGGCUCUU